rnacentral:rRNA from 1 species
AGUGAACGCUGGCGGUAGGCCUAACACAUGCAAGUCGAACGGCAGCACAGUAAGAGCUUGCUCUUACGGGUGGCGAGUGGCGGACGGGUGAGGAAUACAUCGGAAUCUACUUUUUCGUGGGGGAUAACGUAGGGAAACUUACGCUAAUACCGCAUACGACCUACGGUUGAAAGCAGGGGAUCUUCGGACCUUGCGCGAUUGAAUGAGCCGAUGUCGGAUUAGCUAGUUGGCGGGGUAAAGGCCCACCAAGGCGACGAUCCGUAGCUGGUCUGAGAGAAUGAUCAGCCACACUGGAACUGAGACACGGUCCAGACUCCUACGGGAGGCAGCAGUGGGGAAUAUUGGACAAUGGGCGCAAGCCUGAUCCAGCCAUACCGCGUGGGUGAAGAAGGCCUUCGGGUUGUAAAGCCCUUUUGUUGGGAAAGAAAAGCAGCAGGUUAAUACCCCGCUGUUCUGACGGUACCCAAAGAAUAAGCACCGGCUAACUUCGUG